CUGCAUUUGCAAACCAAUAGGCCUAACUUCAUUUACAUAGGUUGUAUAUUACACAUCAAUAAAAAUAGCCAAGCUUUCUUUGGGAGUCUCCGGCGCCCAGGCUGGAGUGCAACUCUGUCUCAAACAAACAAAAAAACUUGUAACUCCUUCUAAACUGGAGGGGACAGAAAUCUUUUAAGGGUACAGCCUAGUUCCCUCCACCACUCUCUGCAAAUCGCUUUCUUCCCCAGGUCAUUCUGCCCCAAAAUUAUUUUUUAAAAAAAAGUGAUUAUAACAUCUUAUCCUAAUGGAAUGUGGGCCAAGCACUGCUGAACUCUUUACAUAUGUAAGUUUGAAUAGGCAAAAACUUUUGCCUAUAUGGAUUUAGGGGCUCUCAUAUUCAUUUUAUAGAUGAGGAAAUAAGACUUGGCAAGGGAGUCCAUAACCAGGAACCGGCAGAGCAGUGCGAACCAAGAAUUCAGAUUCCAAAGCCUAUGCUUAGCUGCUCUCUAUAAGGACCCCAGGGCUAGCAAAACGCAGUCAACAAGUCAAGUCCAGGCGCUUGGAGCGCCAAGGGCCCCCGACCACUGGGUUCCUGGGGCUCCGGUUCCUC
rnacentral:lncRNA from 10 species